rnacentral:lncRNA from 10 species
GUGGAACCUGGGAUUCGAUUGGCCUGGCGGGAAGCACUUUAGCAGAGGAACUCUGGCUUUCGAAGAGUAUGUGUUUCCCCCCUUUUUUGCCUCUUUUCACCCAUUAAAACCCUGCUUUACUCGCCCUUUAAACCAUCUGCGAGUCUAAAUUUUCAUGGCCGUGGGACGGACAAGAACCUCGUCUUUAGCUGAACUACAGAAAAGUCCUGAAACAUUUUUGGCACGCAACUUGGGGGCUGGAGAAGUGGUUAUUUAGGGUAAAAACAAGAGACUACUUAUAUUAUGGAUUCCAAUACUGAGAAAUGGAAGAUAAUGAAGGCAAGGAAAGAAUCAAUGAUUAUCAGGGCUGCCAGCUGACAGCAUCCAUGUCACCUAUAUAGAAACUGAAAUACGGGGAGAUUGAGUGCUACAGGUUGUAAAUAUAGCCUGGGAUUUGGAUCUGAAAAACUUGACUCUACAGUCUUUGAACUUCAUCAGCUUGCUAUGGUUCUUCACAUAUUUUAACAUAUUUGCUUCAGAUAUUUUUGUUUUAAAAAUUAAAUUUGAAGUUUCUGUUUCAUUCUCCAGAGAAAAGAAAUAUCAUGAAUGUGGUAUGUAUUUCACUGAUGGACAUUUGAG